rnacentral:rRNA from 1 species
UACGAAGGGGGCUAGCGUUGCUCGGAAUCGCUGGGCGUAAAGGGUGCGUAGGCGGGUCUUUAAGUCAGGGGGGAAAUCCUGGAGCUCAACUCCAGAACUGCCUUUGAUACUGAAGAUCUUGAGUUCGGGAGAGGUGAGUGGAACUGCGAGUGUAGAGGUGAAAUUCGUAGAUAUUCGCAAGAACACCAGUGGCGAAGGCGGCUCACUGGCCCGAUACUGACGCUGAGGCACGAAAGCGUGGGGAGCAAACAGG